rnacentral:rRNA from 1 species
AGAUUGAACGCUGGCGGCAUGCCUUACACAUGCAAGUCGAACGGUAGAGUAGCAAUACUCGAGAGUGGCGAACGGGUGAGUAAUAUAUCGGAACGUGCCCAGUCGUGGGGGAUAACGUAGAGAAAUUUACGCUAAUACCGCAUACGAUCUACGGAUGAAAGCGGGGGAUCGCAAGACCUCGCGCGAUUGGAGCGGCUGAUAUCAGAUUAGGUUGUUGGUGAGGUAAAAGCUCACCAAGCCGACGAUCUGUAGCUGGUUUGAGAGAACGACCAGCCACACUGGGACUGAGACACGGCCCAGACUCCUACGGGAGGCAGCAGUGGGGAAUUUUGGACAAUGGGCGAAAGCCUGAUCCAGCAAUGCCGCGUGCAGGAAGAAGGCCUUGGUUGUAAACUGCUUUGUACGGAACGAAAAGGCUCUUUACUAAUAAAGGGGCCCAAGUGAACGGUACCGUAAGAAGUAAGACAACCGGCUAAACUACGUAGCCAGCAGCCGCGGUAA